rnacentral:tRNA from 1 species
GGCCGCGUGGCCCAAUGGUAAGGCGCUUGACUACGGAUCAAGAGAUUGCAGGUUCGAUCCCUGCCGCGGUCA